rnacentral:rRNA from 1 species
UACGUAGGCAGCAAGCGUUGUUCGGAGUUACUGGGCGUAAAGGGUGUGUAGGCGGUUCUUUAAGUUUGGUGUGAAAUCUCCCGGCUUAACCGGGAGGGUGCGCCGAAUACUGAGGGACUAGAGUACGGGAGAGGAAAGUGGAAUUCCUGGUGUAGCGGUGAAAUGCGUAGAUAUCAGGAGGAACACCGGUGGUGUAGACGGCUUUCUGGACCGUAACUGACGCUGAGACACGAAAGCGUGGGGAGCGAACCGG